rnacentral:rRNA from 2 species
GACGCAAGUCUGAUGGAGCGACGCCGCGUGAGUGAAGAAGGCUUUCGGGUCGUAAAACUCUGUUGUUGGAGAAGAAUGGUCGGCAGAGUAACUGUUGUCGGCGUGACGGUAUCCAACCAGAAAGCCACGGCUAACUACGUGCCAGCAGCCGCGGUAAUACGUAGGUGGCAAGCGUUAUCCGGAUUUAUUGGGCGUAAAGCGAGCGCAGGCGGUUUUUUAAGUCUGAUGUGAAAGCCCUCGGCUUAACCGAGGAAGUGCAUCGGAAACUGGGAAACUUGAGUGCAGAAGAGGACAGUGGAACUCCAUGUGUAGCGGUGAAAUGCGUAGAUAUAUGGAAGAACACCAGUGGCGAAGGCGGCUGUCUGGUCUGUAACUGACGCUGAGGCUCGAAAGCAUGGGUAGCGAACAGGAUUAGAUACCCUGGUAGUCCAUGCCGUAAACGAUGAAUGCUAGGUGUUGGAGGGUUUCCGCCCUUCAGUGCUGCAGCUAACGCAUUAAGCAUUCCGCCUGGGGAGUACGACCGCAAGGUUGAAACUCAAAGGAAUUGACGGGGGCCCGCACAAGCGGUGGAGCAUGUGGUUUAAUUCGAAGCAACGCGAAGAACCUUACCAGGUCUUGACAUCUUUUGAUCACCUGAGAGAUCAGGUUUCCCCUUCGGG